GACGCAAAAGUUCAAAGGAGAGGACUGACUACUGAGAAGUGAGAAGUCCUCGUACAAAUUCAUGGAAAAGCAGAGGGGCACAUGAUUGCAUAGCAGAAACAAAACUCGCAGCUCAACAACGUAACGAGAAACGAACAUAGAAACACACACCAGAUUCUUCGGAUCAUCGUUUUCGUAAUAUAGGAUGACGAAUGGUGUUUUAAUGAUGCUGUUCAUGUGUUUUUUGAUGUUUAUAAUACCGAUUUCUUCUGUUGGUGGCGAGCAGUCGUUGACGGCGAAUGGGAAGGUAUUGGAACUUGAUGAAUCGAACUUCGAUUCCGCCAUCUCUACCUUCGACUUCAUCCUCGUUGAUUUCUACGCCCCUUGGUGCGGCCACUGCAAGCGUCUCUCUCCCCAGUUGGAUGAAGCUGCCCCCAUACUUGCCAGCUUGAAAGAGCCCAUUGUCAUAGCAAAAGUAGAUGCUGAUAAAUAUACCCGCUUGGCUCGAAAACAUGAUAUUGAUGGAUAUCCCACCCUCAAGAUCUUUAUGCAUGGUGUCCCUGUAGAAUAUAAUGGACCGAGGAAAGCAGAUUUGCUUGUUCGUUAUCUGAAAAAAUUUGUUACUUCUGAUGUUUCGGUUCUUGAUUCAGACUCUGCCAUCAGUGAUUUUGUUGAAGCAGCUGGCACUUUCUUUCCUAUAUAUAUAGGGUUUGGCUUGAAAGAGUCGAUGAUAUCAAAUUUAGCUGUAAAAUACAAGAAAAAGGCAUGGUUUUCUGUGGCAAAGGAUUUCUCUGAGGACAUCAUGGUAUCAUAUGAUUUCGACAAGGUUCCUGCUUUAGUAUCCCUUCAUCCAGUUUACAAUGAGCGGAACAUUUUUUACGGCCCCUUUGAAGAGGAAUUUUUGGAGGAAUUUAUUAAACAAAACUUGUUCCCUUUGGUCAUACCAAUAAACGCGGACACAUUAAAGUCCCUGGAAGAAGAUGAGAGGAAAAUUGUCCUGACAAUUGUGGAGGAUGAGACAGAGGAGAAGUCAAAGAAAAUUAUAAACUUAUUGAAGGCUGCUGCAUCUGCAAAUCGUGACUUAGUAUUUGGUUAUGUUGGUGUCAAACAGUAUGAGGACUUCACUGACACAUUUGGGGUUAACAAAAAGACAGUGCUACCAAAAAUGGUGGUUUGGGAUGGAGAUGAGGAGUACUUCUCAGUUUUCGGUUCAGAAAUGAUGAAUGCGGAGGAUCAGGCAACUCAAAUCUCAAGAUUCAUUAUAGGAUAUAGGGAAGGAAGAACAUUGAAGGAAAGAAUCCGUGGUCCAUCGCUUCUUGGUUAUAUCAAUUCAUUAGUUGGAAUCAAUACUGUAUACAUGCUUGUUUUUGUGGUUGUGGUCGUGAUGCUCAUCCAAACCAUCAGGGGAGAGGAACCUCUCCGGGUUGGUACUGGAGACCAAGUUGAUCAUGCUAGGAGUUCAGUGUCUGAGGCUGUAAGUAGAGAAUAUGGACCUGGAGACAAGGUAGAUUAAAGUUGGUCAUUUUGAUGGACUUCUAAGUUCUAACUGAAAAUUUAGUCAAGGAUGUGCUUAUAAACAAUUCAACAAUAUGAACAGAAAUAUCAGAGCACGGUGAAGUUAUGUUGCACUUCAAUGCUUUUGUAGAGAAAUCUUAUUUAUGCGCACACUUUGGUCAGUUCAUUUUGCAGACUUCUCAUUUAGCAAUGUAACCGUUAAAAAUAGUAAGUUGCGAGAAGACAAUGUGAUGGACUCAGUUCUUCCAUGCCAUCUACUGCCUUACAAGUCGUUGUUCUUGAUGAGCAUUUCUUCCGCAUUUUUCUUUAUGUUGUUUUCUGUUUUAUGACUACUGUUUCUAGAAUGUUCGAAAAUCUGACAGUCUUCGUUUCCUAGCAUUAAUUUUUCUUGUUUCUUUUCUCA